UUUCGAAUCAUUCACAAUGGGCGAAAGCCUGAUGGUGCGACGCCGCGUGAGGGAUGAAGGUCUUCGGAUUGUAAACCUCUGUCACCGGGGAAGAAACGCUUUGAGUUAAUAGUUCAAAGCCUGACUUAACCCGGAGAGGAAGCAGUGGCUAACUCUGUGCCAGCAGCCGCGGUAAUACAGAGACUGCAAGCGUUAUUCGGAUUCACUGGGCGUAAAGGGUGCGCAGGCGGCCAAGUGUGUGAGGCGUGAAAGCCCGGGGCUUAACCCCGGAAUUGCACCUCAAACUACAUGGCUAGAGCAUUGGAGAGGGUAGCAGAAUUCAUGGUGUAGCAGUGAAAUGCGUAGAUAUCAUGAGGAAUACCAGAGGCGAAGGCGGCUACCUGGACAAUUGCUGACGCUCAGGCACGAAAGCGUGGGGAGCAAAAGG
rnacentral:rRNA from 1 species